UACGUAGGGUGCGAGCGUUGUCCGGAAUUAUUGGGCGUAAAGAGCUCGUAGGCGGUCUGUCGCGUCGGUCGUGAAAACUUGGGGCUUAACCCUGAGCUUGCGGUCGAUACGGGCAUGACUGGAGUUCGGCAGGGGAGACUGGAAUUCCUGGUGUAGCGGUGAAAUGCGCAGAUAUCAGGAGGAACACCGGUGGCGAAGGCGGGCCUCUGGGCCGAUACUGACGCUGAGGAGCGAAAGCGUGGGGAGCGAACAGG
rnacentral:rRNA from 1 species